rnacentral:rRNA from 2 species
GAGUUUGAUCUAGACUCAGAACGAACGUCGGCGGCGUGCCUAAUACAUGCAAGUCGAGAGGACUGGAUGGAGCUUGUUCUAUCAAGUUAGCGGCGGACGGGUGAGUAACACGUGGGCAACCUGCCUGUAAGACUGGGAUAACUCCGGGAAACCGGAGCUAAUACCGGAUAGUAUCUUGAACCGCAUGGUUCAAGCUGGAAAGACGGUUUCGGCUGUCACUUACAGAUGGGCCCGCGGCGCAUUAGCUAGUUGGUGAGGUAAUGGCUCACCAAGGCAACGAUGCGUAGCCGACCUGAGAGGGUGAUCGGCCACACUGGGACUGAGACACGGCCCAGACUCCUACGGGAGGCAGCAGUAGGGAAUCUUCCGCAAUGGACGAAAGUCUGACGGAGCAACGCCGCGUGAGUGAUGAAGGUUUUCGGAUCGUAAAACUCUGUUGUUAGGGAAGAACAAGUGCGAGAGUAACUGCUCGCACCUUGACGGUACCUAACCAGAAAGCCACGGCUAACUACGUGCCAGCAGCCGCGGUAAUACGUAGGUGGCAAGCGUUGUCCGGAAUUAUUGGGCGUAAAGCGCGCGCAGGCGGUUUCUUAAGUCUGAUGUGAAAGCCCCCGGCUCAACCGGGGAGGGUCAUUGGAAACUGGGAAACUUGAGUGCAGAAGAGGAGAGUGGAAUUCCACGUGUAGCGGUGAAAUGCGUAGAGAUGUGGAGGAACACCAGUGGCGAAGGCGACUCUCUGGUCUUAACGACGCUAGCGGAAGCGGA